GCCCUUAGUUCCCUUACAUUGCAAAAAUGGAGGCAAAGAGAUUCGCGAAAGAAGCCCCAUGCUCUGCUGUCGCCGUCAAUGCUUUUGUUCAUCUUGGAAUGGCAGGGUUAGCUUGGGGUGUGGUCAGUGGACCCUACAGAGCUGAUAAAAGAGGUCUGUCCUGAUUUAUGAGAAAAACAUUAUGGGGAGAUGAGUUUUACAUAUAGUCAAAACUUAUUGUCCACUGAAAUAAUGUGUUGUGAGGGCGAGUGGGCUCCAUCAUCAGGUUCAUGGCCUCUUCAGGCGGAUCCUACUCUCUCUGUUUCACAAUUGAAUGGAUGGUGAUGACCAUUUGAAUAUGGUUUUUCCAUAGUUUGGUGGAUUAUCCUAGACUUUCCCCUAAGUGGGUUUUGUCUUUCUUUGUUACUAACAUCUGUGUCUUGCUUUGCCUGAUCUUAUUUCUCCAUUUGUGGAACUUAGGCCUUGCUGGUGUUGCCCGAACUACUUUCCUGCUGCAUUGGUGAUUUGCAGAUGAAGAGAGUUGGUACAUACAGCCUUCUAUGGGGUAAAUGAAAAUCCAUUUUGAAUUUAUGAUCUUUGAACCAAAGAAAAUUAUUGCCAUUAGUGAUUUAUCAUGAACUUGUCUAGGCAUAUGUUAUCAAUAUAAGAACCAUGUUUUUUUACAAUCUGUUCAAACUAGUGCUGAUAAUGCUAAUUGUUCAAAGAUGACUCUUGUUGAAUUCCCUCAAACCUCAGUUCGUGACAGGCCUAUGGAUUAAAUUAAAAUGUUUAUCUUAUCAAAUGAUUGCCAAUGCAGGGCGAGGUUUAUAGUUGUGUUCUUCAUAUAUUUGAAAUAUUGUAAUGUUUUCUUCCCUUAACCAAAAAUUACCCAAGGGAAUUGCCUUUUUCACAAUAUUGAUUGUGUUAUUGGGUUCCACAAUCUUAUUCACCGGCAUGCAAGGGACCUCAAUGUUUAUCUAAAGGCAAAAGCUCAACCAAAGGCGAAAGCUCAAAUUGGUUGAGUGCUAGAAGGUCUUAAACCCAUCGAAUCAAGGAGGUUUCUGGCCACCUGUAUAUAUGUCAACUUAAGAUGAACAACUUGGAGGUCUUACAAGCUGACAUCGACUAAUCAAUGAUGAUGGUUGGAAAGUGAGAACAGGAGAUCAUGGUAACGUUAUCUCUGUCUUAUCCAGGAUGCACAAAUUUAUCUAUAAGCAAAUCUCCCAUGAGUAGGGCUGAUUCUCUGUAGACCAUAAUAUUGUGAAAAUGGUUAUCUUUCUGGUACUGGUUUUGUACGCUUUGCCUUCUGUUUGUUUUCGUAGGACUAGACAAAAAUAUUUAUCAGGCCUUCUUGCGUAAAAGUCUGAGAGACAAUAGUCACAACCCAUAUGAAUGAAUAGGCCAGUGCAGCAAAAUGGUAAUGUAAUGGAAACUCUUUUACUGUUUUUCAAUAGUUCCUGCUGAAAGCAUUUAUGGGAGUAUGCGGCUAUAAUGGUUGGGGACCACUUAUUGUGACUACAUAUUGUCAAUGAGCUGGUUUCCAUCAAAAAGGGGUAAAGCGAAGUAGCUCUCCUUGCAUUAAGCCAGCUUUACAUGGUUCUUAUCAAUUUAGUCCCCGACUUGUCACUUUUUCUGGUAACUUUUAAAUGGCUUUGUUACCUUUACACAUUGAUAAGUUUUUUAGCAUGUCCAUAUGGAUAUAGCAUAUGCACAUAUAUUUAACUAAAUGCACAGACUUCUUUCGCACAUUACAGCAAUUUCUUUGAUGGAAGGAGGUUGAAUUUGUGUCGGACUUGGUUUUCAGCUGUUUUACUUUGACAUUCAUGGCAUGGAAGUAGUUAUUCAUGCAUUAAAGCUGUUUUUUUUAAGGCUUCUUUUUUAGCCCUAAAUUUUUUUUUUUUUUUGAUGUAUCCUGAUUUUUUUCUCAAAUGAUGUCCAUUUAAAAGUUCUUGCUUCUUGUUCAAGUUAACCUUACUCAUACUUUCAAAAUCUGUCAUCUUCCAUGCUUUCUCAAAGGAUCUUUGGGUGGAGCUUUUCAUGCAAUACGUUGUGGUGUUAGAAGAUAUCGGAUGCAGGAGGAUUGGGUGAACUCCGGCAUUGCUGGUGCCAUAGCUGGCGCAGCCUUGGGUAUGAAGACAAGGAGCUUAACGCAGAUCGCGAUAACCUCCGUCAUUGUGUCGGGCAUUGUUACAGUGAUUGACAGCUCGAAACCAUUUUGAUACAAUUUCAUUAUAACCGAUUUUGUUUUCGAAUAUUUUUUUUAAAUGGAUAGCCAUAAUUUGAAGGUUACCCCCUAGUUGGAGCAUCUAGGCCCUCAAUCAGGCUAGAGAAUGGGUGGCCAAGGUUAGAAUAAAAGGAUGGAGCUUGUGUUAGCCAACAACCUCAAACCGUUAAACUAUGUGGUAACCGUCAAAACUAUGUGGAAGUUGUAGUUUUGAUUUCAAAAACUGAUGUGAUGGUCUAAAAAUCUAUUUGUACCUUUAGUUGUGAAAUUUAGCAGUAAAAAAAUGAUGCAGGUUGAAAAAA